AAUACAUGCAAGUCGAGCGAACAGAUAAGGAGCUUGCUCCUUUGACGUUAGCGGCGGACGGGUGAGUAACACGUGGGUAACCUACCUAUAAGACUGGAAUAACUCCGGGAAACCGGGGCUAAUGCCGGAUAACAAAUAGAACCGCAUGGUUCUAUAGUGAAAGAUGGUUUUGCUAUCACUUAUAGAUGGACCCGCGCCGUAUUAGCUAGUUGGUAAGGUAAUGGCUUACCAAGGCGACGAUACGUAGCCGACCUGAGAGGGUGAUCGGCCACACUGGAACUGAGACACGGUCCAGACUCCUACGGGAGGCAGCAGUAGGGAAUCUUCCGCAAUGGGCGAAAGCCUGACGGAGCAACGCCGCGUGAGUGAUGAAGGGUUUCGGCUCGUAAAACUCUGUUAUUAGGGAAGAACAUAUGUGUAAGUAACUGUGCACAUCUUGACGGUACCUAAUCAGAAAGCCACGGCUAACUACGUGCCAGCAGCCGCGGUAAUACGUAGGUGGCAAGCGUUAUCCGGAAUUAUUGGGCGUAAAGCGCGCGUAGGCGGUUUCUUAAGUCUGAUGUGAAAGCCCACGGCUCAACCGUGGAGGGUCAUUGGAAACUGGGAAACUUGAGUGCAGAAGAGGAAAGUGGAAUUCCAUGUGUAGCGGUGAAAUGCGCAGAGAUAUGGAGGAACACCAGUGGCGAAGGCGACUUUCUGGUCUGUAACUGACGCUGAUGUGCGAAAGCGUGGGGAUCAAACAGGAUUAGAUACCCUGGUAGUCCACGCCGUAAACGAUGAGUGCUAAGUGUUAGGGGGUUUCCGCCCCUUAGUGCUGCAGCUAACGCAUUAAGCACUCCGCCUGGGGAGUACGACCGCAAGGUUGAAACUCAAAGGAAUUGACGGGGACCCGCACAAGCGGUGGAGCAUGUGGUUUAAUUCGAAGCAACGCGAAGAACCUUACCAAAUCUUGACAUCCUUUGACCACUCUAGAGAUAGAGCUUUCCCCUUCGGGGGACAAAGUGACAGGUGGUGCAUGGUUGUCCUCACCUCCGUGUCCUGAGAUGUUGGGUUAAAUCCCGCAACGAGCGCAACCCUUAACCUUAGUUGCCAUCAUAAAGUUGGGCACUCUAGGUUAACUGCCGGGGACAAACCGGAAGAAAGGUGGGGAUGACGUCAAAUCAUCAUGCCCCUUAUGAUUUGGGCUACACACGUGCUACAAUGGACAAUACAAAGGGCAGCUAAACCGCGAGGUCAUGCAAAUCCCAUAAAGUUGUUCUCAGUUCGGAUUGUAGUCUGCAACUCGACUACAUGAAGCUGGAAUCGCUAGUAAUCGUAGAUC
rnacentral:rRNA from 1 species